rnacentral:rRNA from 1 species
AUUGAACGCUGGCGGCAUGCUUUACACAUGCAAGUCGAGCGGCAGCGCGGGGGCAACCCUGGCGGCGAGCGGCGAACGGGUGAGUAAUGCAUCGGAACGUACCCUGGAGUGGGGGAUAACGCCGCGAAAGCGGCGCUAAUACCGCAUAUGCUCUGAGGAGGAAAGUGGGGGGACCGCAAGGCCUCACGCUCUGGGAGCGGCCGAUGUCCGAUUAGCUAGUUGGUGGGGUAAAGGCUUAACCAAGGCGACGAUCGGUAGCUGGUCUGAGAGGAUGAUCAGCCACACUGGGACUGAGACACGGCCCAGACUCCUACGGGAGGCAGCAGUGGGGAAUUUUUGGACAAUGGGGGCAACCCUGAUCCAGCCAAUGCCGCGUGAGUGAAGAAGG